GAUCCUGGCUCAGAAUGAACGCUUGUAACAUGCUUUACACAUGCAAGUCGAAUGGUAAAAAUUUCAUUUUACCAUGGCGAACGGGUGAGUAAUACUUGGGAAUUUACCUUAUAGUUGGGGAUAACUAAGAAUAUUCUUAGGAAUACCGAAUACUUUAAAGGAAUAUAUCAUAUAUUUCGCUAUAAGAUAAGCCUUAGUAAGAUUAGGUAGUUGGUAGGGUAAGAGCCUACCAAGCCAAAGAUCUUUAGCUGAUCUGAGAGGAUGAUCGGCCACACUGGGACUGAGACACGGCCCAGACUCCCUUGGGAGGCAGCAGUGAGGAAUAUUGGACAAUGGGCGAAAGCCUGAUCCAGCAAUGUUACGUGGGUGACGAAAGCCAUUUUGGUUGUAAAACCCUUUCAGUGGAGAUGAUAAUGACAGUAUCCACAGAAGAAGUCCCGGCUAACUCCGUGCCAGCAGCCGCGGUAAUACGGGGGGGGCGAGCGUUAUUCGGAAUGACUGGGCGUAAAGAGUUCGUAGGCGAGCUUUAUUAAGUAUGGUUUUCAAAAUUUAGAGCAUAACUCUAAAUGUGAACCGAAACUGAAAAGCUUGAGUUUGGUAGAGGAUAGUGGAAUUCCUAGUGGAAGGAUAAAAUCUCUAGAGAUUAGGAGGAACAUCAGAGGCGAAGGCGACUAUCUGGACCAAAACUGACGCUAAAGAACGAAAGUAUGGGUAUCGAAUGGGAUUAGAGACCCCAGUAGUCCAUACCGUAAACGAUGAGUGUUAAACGUUUGGAGAUCCAUCUCUUUAUUUGCACUUAGUGUAAAUAUAUCAUAUUAAUAUAGAUGUUUUAAGUUUUUGAACGUUCAAUGAUAGAUUANUUGUUUUGGUUAACUUUAAUCUGUUAGUUCCUUAUACUUUUAACAUAAUAUAUACAAAUCAACAAUAUUAGAUUGUUAAAAUCAACUAUUUAAAUUUUAUUGCCGUUGGCAAUUCUGGAUAUCUGAGUGUUACAGCUAACGCNUUAAACACUCCGCCUGNGGAGUACAGUCGCAAG
rnacentral:rRNA from 1 species